CGUAGGGUGCGAGCGUUAAUCGGAAUUACUGGGCGUAAAGCGUGCGCAGGCGGUUUUGUAAGACAGGCGUGAAAUCCCCGGGCUCAACCUGGGAACUGCGCUUGUGACUGCAAGGCUAGAGUACGGCAGAGGGGGGUGGAAUUCCACGUGUAGCAGUGAAAUGCGUAGAGAUGUGGAGGAACACCAAUGGCGAAGGCAGCCCCCUGGGUCGAUACUGACGCUCAUGCACGAAAGCGUGGGUAACAAACAGGAUUAGAUACCCUGGUAGUCCACGCCCUAAACGAUGUCAACUAGGUGUUGGGUGGGUAAAACCAUUUAGUACCGGAGCUAACGCGUGAAGUUGACCGCCUGGGGAGUACGGCCGCAAGGUUA
rnacentral:rRNA from 1 species